rnacentral:rRNA from 1 species
UACGUAGGGUCCGAGCGUUGUCCGGAAUUAUUGGGCGUAAAGAGCUCGUAGGCGGUUUGUCGCGUCUGCUGUGAAAUCCCGAGGCUCAACCUCGGGUCUGCAGUGGGUACGGGCAGACUGGAGUGCGGUAGGGGAGAAUGGAAUUCCUGGUGUAGCGGUGGAAUGCGCAGAUAGUCAGGAGGAACACCGAUGGCGAAGGCAGUUCUCUGGGCCGUAACUGACGCUGAGGAGCGAAAGCGUGGGGAGCGAACAGG